UACGGGGGGGGCAAGCGUUGUUCGGAAUUACUGGGCGUAAAGGGCUCGUAGGCGGCCAACUAAGUCAGACGUGAAAUCCCUCAGCUUAACUGGGGAACUGCGUCUGAUACUGGAUGGCUUGGAUUCGGGAGAGGAAUGCGGAAUUCCAGGUGUAGCGGUGAAAUGCGUAGAUAUCUGGAGGAACACCGGUGGCGAAGGCGGCAUUCUGGACCGACAUUGACGCUGAGGAGCGAAGC
rnacentral:rRNA from 1 species